UACGUAGGGAGCAAGCGUUAUCCGGAUUUACUGGGUGUAAAGGGCGCGUAGGCGGGAUGGCAAGUCAGAUGUGAAAUCCAGGGGCUCAACCCCUGAACUGCAUUUGAAACUGUCGUUCUUGAGUACUGGAGAGGUUGACGGAAUUCCUAGUGUAGCGGUGAAAUGCGUAGAUAUUAGGAGGAACACCAGUGGCGAAGGCGGUUAACUGGACAGCAACUGACGCUGAGGCGCGAAAGCGUGGGGAGCAAACAGG
rnacentral:rRNA from 1 species